rnacentral:rRNA from 1 species
GACGAACGCUGGCGGCGUGCCUAAUACAUGCAAGUAGAACGCUGAAGGAGGAGCUUGCUUCUCUGGAUGAGUUGCGAACGGGUGAGUAACGCGUAGGUAACCUGCCUGGUAGCGGGGGAUAACUAUUGGAAACGAUAGCUAAUACCGCAUAAGAGUAGAUGUUGCAUGACAUUUGCUUAAAAGGUGCAAUUGCAUCACUACCAGAUGGACCUGCGUUGUAUUAGCUAGUUGGUGGGGUAACGGCUCACCAAGGCGACGAUACAUAGCCGACCUGAGAGGGUGAUCGGCCACACUGGGACUGAGACACGGCCCAGACUCCUACGGGAGGCAGCAGUAGGGAAUCUUCGGCAAUGGACGGAAGUCUGACCGAGCAACGCCGCGUGAGUGAAGAAGGGUUUCGGAUCGUAAAGCUCUGUUGUAAGAGAAGAACGAGUGUGAGAGUGGAAAGUUCACACUGUGACGGUAGCUUACCAGAAAGGGACGGCUAACUACGCG